UACGAACUGUGCGAACGUUAUUCGGAAUCACUGGGCUUAAAGGGUGCGUAGGCGGCUGCCUAAGUCAGGUGUGAAAUCUCCCGGCUCAACCGGGAAACUGCGCUUGAUACUGGGCGGCUCGAGUGAGGUAGGGGUGUGUGGAACUUCCGGUGGAGCGGUGAAAUGUGUAGAUAUCGGAAGGAGCGCCAGCAGCGAAAGCGGCACACUGGGCCUUUUCUGACGCUGAGGCACGAAAGCCAGGGGAGCGAACGGG
rnacentral:rRNA from 1 species